GUGUUCAUUUUAAAAGCACACAUACACAAAUUGGAACAAUAUAGAAGAGACUAGUAUAGCCCCUGUAUGACUAUGACAUUCAAAUUCAUGAAGUGUUGCAUACUUUU